UGUGACUAGAGAUGUGGUCCCUGGAUGGGAUGAAUAAGGUUAAUGGAAUCUUAUUGUAAGCUGAAAAGUCAUCAUGGAAAUUAUUGCAAACUUUCUCUUCUGUUAAUCCCCCAAGUGUGUUGAAGUCCCAGUUGUGGAUUAAGAUCCCCUUACACAAGGUGCUUGCCAACUCGGACCCUAAAGAUGGCCUGCAGUCUUAAGUGCAUGUCAAGAGGCGAUGCUAACAGAAGCAGAUAAUGGGGACCUUAAGGGAGUGGCAAGCAUGAUGAAAACAGAAGAUGCAGAAAUCAUUUUAAUUCAUAACUGGAAGUAAGCUGAGCAGAACUACAGAGCAGUCACACAGUGAACAAGGAAAUCUACCAGGGAUAGCAGGUUUACAAACUAAACUGUUUUCAGGGCUGAAUCAUUUGCCACAUGUUGAAUACCAGUCAUGCUUGCUCUCUUUACAUUGAUCAGCCUCAAGAUCCCUCACCUGUCUUCAACUGAUACAUCCGUGGGGUCAAGUUUCUAACCCCAAGGCAUUCUAACUGGAUAGCUGACUAUGUGAGAACUUGUUACAAAGUGACCAUCUAGGCAUGUCCAUGGGACUUCUACCUUCCUGAGAUCUGCUGUGCUUUCACAUGCAACUCCUUUAGCUGUUUCCUUGACCUUCACUGCUGUGAAGCCUCUCAACACGAUGCCACCUUUGGGAGAGCAGGUUCUUUUGAUUUGAUUCAACUCGUCACAUUGGGAGCUUUUCUUUAAGGAUGUGAUCUGCCUGGUGCCACUCACGGUAAAUGUACAUGUGAGUAAACACUCAGAGAUGAAAGAAAGGUUACUUGUAACUGUU